rnacentral:rRNA from 1 species
ACGAACGCUGGCGGCGUGCUUAACACAUGCAAGUCGAACGGAAAGGCCCCCUUGUGGGGUACUCGAGUGGCGAACGGGUGAGUAACACGUGAGUAACCUACCCUUGACUUUGGGAUAACUUCAGGAAACUGGGGCUAAUACCGGAUAGGAGCUCCUGCUGCAUGGUGGGGGUUGGAAAGUUUCGGCGGUUGGGGAUGGACUCGCGGCUUAUCAGCUUGUUGGUGGGGUGGUGGCUCACCAAGGCUUUGACGGGUAGCCGGCCUGAGAGGGUGACCGGCCAAAGUGGGGAAGGAGAGCCGGCCCAGCCCCCGAGGGGGGGCAGAGGGGGGGAAUAUGCAAAAAGGGGGGGAAGCUUAAGGCGGCAAGCCGGCGGGGGGGAGGCGGCCCUUCGGUUUUAAACCCGCUUCCCCUGGGGACGAAGGGUGAUGGAGGGAAGGGGGAAAAGAAGCCCCGCCAAACUCGGGC